GAGCAGCCUGAAGCCAUGAGUCGCUGCCACUGCUCUUUCUGUGCCUGGUGCAGCCCCAGCUCAUGGGGUCUGGGCCGCCUCUGAUCCCAUGCCCCCCACUUCACACUUGGGGUUCUGGCUUCCCCGCUGUGAGCCUGUCUCUCCUCCGUGGGACAGGCCAGCCUGGGCAGCCAUCCCUGUACCCACUGCCCAGCAUAUAGUGGGUGCCUCAUAAAUGUGGGCUGAACAGAGCCUGCCCCUGGGGCCCCACCCUCACUGCCAGGCAUACAGCAGGUGCCUCAUAAAUGUGGGCUGAACAGAUCCUGCCCAUGGGCCCCCCGACUUCCAGACAUAAAGUAGGUGCUACAUAAAUGCAGGCCAAACAGAAUCUACCCUGGGGGCCUCCACUUCCCUUUGAUGGGGGCAGAGACCCUCUGCCGGGCAGCGGCCACCCAGUGCCUGGGACAGGUGCCCCCUUCUCCCACCCUGGCCUAUCUUGGGGCAUCUGAGGGAGGACAGGGCUGUGCCCCCCACUUCAUCCUCGAGGGUCUGGCUUCCCCACCUGUGAGCUUGUCUCUCCUCCGUGGGAGGAGCAGCACCGUCGUUUUCACUUUCCGUGAUGACCACUGAGUGAGAGAAGAUGACGGCAGCUCCUGCGUUUAAAAAGGAACCAUCCGCGUAACUGCCGCAGGCAGGGCCCGUGCUCGGGCAGUGAGGCCUCGGCCCUGAGAAGGCCCGGACCCCACAGGCCUGGCCCUGGCUGAGAGGGAGUUGGAGUCCCCCGCCUGGGGCAGCCCCUCUGCACCUGGGGUGGUGGAGCAGGAGCUUGG
rnacentral:lncRNA from 1 species